UGGGGAAUAUUGCACAAUGGGCGCAAGCCUGAUGCAGCCAUGCCGCGUGUGUGAAGAAGGCCUUAGGGUUGUAAAGCACUUUCAGCGAGGAGGAAGGGUUCAGUGUUAAUAGCACUGUGCAUUGACGUUACUCGCAGAAGAAGCACCGGCUAACUCCGUG
rnacentral:rRNA from 1 species